GAUGAACGCUGGCGGCGUGCCUAAUACAUGCAAGUCGAGCGAACAGACGAGGAGCUUGCUCCUCUGACGUUAGCGGCGGACGGGUGAGUAACACGUGGAUAACCUACCUAUAAGACUGGGAUAACUUCGGGAAACCGGAGCUAAUACCGGAUAAUAUAUUGAACCGCAUGGUUCAAUAGUGAAAGACGGUUUUGCUGUCACUUAUAGAUGGAUCCGCGCCGCAUUAGCUAGUUGGUAAGGUAACGGCUUACCAAGGCAACGAUGCGUAGCCGACCUGAGAGGGUGAUCGGCCACACGGGAGCUGAGACACGGUCCAUACUCCUACGGGAGGCAGCAGUAGGGAAUCUUCCGCAGUAGGCGAAAGCCUGACGGAGCGACGCCGCGUGAGUGAUGAAGGUCUUCGGAUCGUAAAACUCUGUUAUUAGGGAAGAACAAAUGUGUAAGUAACUAUGCACGUCUUGACGGUACCUAAUCAGAAAGCCACGGCUAACUACGUG
rnacentral:rRNA from 1 species